CAAAACAAAAGAACAAAAAAACCUGAGCUGAAUAAGCGAAGUCAAAUCUUAUAUGUAGUUAAGUGAGGUGGACACCGGAUCAAGGGACUCUUGUCUGGAGGAAGAGUGGAGAACAAGGAAAGGUUCCAGCUUUACACACUUGGUCAACGGGGCGGUCUUUCUAGUGACACAGCAAAGACACAGCCAUCAGCUACACAGACCGGAACAGCGCUGUGAGGGCUCUGCAGAUCGGGUGGCAGCCGCCGGAGGAGGGACUGCAGCAGAUCCAGGAGUGCGUGGCCUUAGCACCCUGACACGGCUAGCUCAGCGACAACAAGAGGACUUGUUUCCUAACGACCACGUUCCUUCCCGGACAGAGGAACAAGAGUGGGCCUUGCCUCUGACACGCGGGGUCGUUUGACGGCUCCCUGAGGAACCUGCCUGUGUCUUUCCUGACUCAGGAUCCCUGCUAGAAUUUGGAGGCUCCUGGAAACAGAAGCCACACACAUUAGAGCUGUAGUUCCCAAAAUGGACACCAGGGGACGGGAGAGAGCAGACGAGGUUUGAAUGGCGUAGAUCCCUUUCCCCUAGACAAAGAUUGAAAGUUUUUUUUUGUUUCUGUUUUGUUCUUGUUUCCUAAAUGCCCAAAUCUCCAUGAAAGGUGAUAAGAUAAAAAAGAAAAAGAAUUAUAGCCCAAAGUAACAAAAUAAAG